rnacentral:tRNA from 1 species
GGAGAGAUGCCAGAGUGGUCGAAUGGGGCGGUCUCGAAAACCGUUGAACGCUUUCGCGUUCCAAGGGUUCGAAUCCCUUUCUCUCCG